rnacentral:rRNA from 1 species
AGAGUUUGAUCCUGGCUCAGGACGAACGCUGGCGGCGCGCCUAACACAUGCAAGUCGAACGGGGUGCGUUCGAAUGAAGUUUUCGGAUGGAAUUUGGAUGUACCUAGUGGCGAACGGGUGAGUAACACGUGAAUAACCUGCCCUGGAGUGGGGGACAACAGUUGGAAACGACUGCUAAUACCGCAUAAGCCCACAGAGCCGCAUGGCUCAGGGGGAAAAGGAGCAAUUCGCUUCAGGAUGGAUUCGCGUCCAAUUAGCUGGAUGGUGAGGUAACGGCCCACCAUGGCAACGAUUGGUAGCCGGACUGAGAGGUUGAUCGGCCACAUUGGGACUGAGACACGGCCCAGACUCCUACGGGAGGCAGCAGUGGGGAAUAUUGCACAAUGGGGGAAACCCUGAUGCAGCGACGCCGCGUGGAGGAAGAAGGUCUUCGGAUUGUAAACUCCUGUCGUUGGGGACGAUAAUGACGGUACCCAACAAGAAAGCCACGGCUAACUACGUGCCAGCAGCCGCGGUAAAACGUAGGUGGCAAGCGUUGUCCGGAAUUACUGGGUGUAAAGGGAGCGCAGGCGGAAGGACAAGUUGGAAGUGAAACCCACGGGCUCAACCCGUGAACUGCUUUCAAAACUGUUUUUCUUGAGUGGUGUAGAGGUAGGCGGAAUUCCCGGUGUAGCGGUGGAAUGCGUAGAUAUCGGGAGGAACACCAGUGGCGAAGGCGGCCUACUGGGCACUAACUGACGCUGAGGCUCGAAAGCAUGGGUAGCAAACAGGAUUAGAUACCCUGGUAGUCCAUGCCGUAAACGAUGAUUACUAGGUGUGGGAGGAUUGACCCCUUCCGUGCCGCAGUUAACACAAUAAGUAAUCCACCUGGGGAGUACGACCGCAAGGUUGAAACUCAAAGGAAUUGACGGGGGCCCGCACAAGCGGUGGAGUAUGUGGUUUAAUUCGAAGCAACGCGAAGAACCUUACCAGGCCUUGACAUCCCUUGCAGAGGUAUAGAGAUAUAUCCGAGGUUAUCAAGGAGACAGGUGGUGCAUGGUUGUCGUCAGCUCGUGUCGUGAGAUGUUGGGUUAAGUCCCGCAACGAGCGCAACCCUUGUGAUAUGUUACUAACAUUGAGUUGAGGACUCAUAUCAGACUGCCGGUGAUAAACCGGAGGAAGGUGGGGAUGACGUCAAAUCAUCAUGCCCCUUAUGGCCUGGACUACACACGUACUACAAUGGCGUCUACAAAGAGCGGCAAGCCUGUGAAGGCAAGCGAAUCUCAUAAAGGACGUCUCAGUUCGGAUUGAAGUCUGCAACCCGACUUCAUGAAGCUGGAAUCGCUAGUAAUCGCGAAUCAGCAUGUCGCGGUGAAUA